rnacentral:rRNA from 1 species
UUGGAGGGCAAGUCUGGUGCCAGCAGCCGCGGUAAUUCCAGCUCCAAUAGCGUAUAUUAAAGUUGUUGCAGUUAAAAGCUCGUAGUUGAAUUUCGAGACCGGUUUAUUGGUCGUGCUUUUGUACGUACUGGUAUUAUUGGUUUCUCCUCUCUGACGAAUCUUAAUGCCAUUAAUUUGGUGUUUUGGGGAAUCAGGACUGUUACUUUGAAAAAAUUGAGUGUUUGAAGCAGGCUCACGCUUGAAUACAUUAGCAUGGAAUAACGGAAUAGGACGUUUGAUUCUAUUUUGUUGGUUUCUAGGAUCGACGUAAUGAUUAAUAGGGAUAGUUGGGGGCAUUAGUAUUCAAUUGUCAGAGGUGAAAUUCUUGGAUUUAUUGAAGACUAACUACUGCGAAAGCAUUUGCCAAGGAUGUUUUCAUUAAUCAAGAACGAAAGUUAGGGGAUCGAAGACGAUCAGAUACCGUCGUAGUCUUAACCAUAAACUAUGCCGACUAAGGAUCGGAUGAUG